UGCUGGAGGCCUCUUCCCUGGGGUUCCUACAGCCUCGCCAGCCCCAUCCUGUAACCUUGGCGGGUCGCCCCACCCCGUUAGGACCCCGGAUCCGGCUGACGCACAGCAGUCACGAGGACGCAAUAGACCCACACCCGCAUCCCGUUCAGACCGGAAGACACGUUGUGACGCUUUAUGCGCAGGCGCGACGUGCAGUGGGGCGCUCCCGGUGCCGUCUGGGGGCGCUGCGGCUGCUAACACUGUGGGGGAGGGGAGGCCGCCGCGCCGGACCACGUGCAUACCACGUGGCACCUCGCAGACCGGGACCGAGUGACACCACCGAGGCUGCCUGAAUGAGCAUCGUGAAUAGCAAGUCUCUUCCAGGAGAUGCUGGGGCUGUUGCUGCUGGACUACAUUGAGAAUAUCAAAGGUGGACCUGGGUAGCACAGGACCAGCAGCAUUGACAUCUGGGAUUCGCUGGAAAUGAAGGCCCCCAGACCCCACCUCGGCCUCCUGGGUGCUUGCCAGCCACUUACUCCGGGCAUUCGCGGUUGGAUGUAGCGGUUCCCAAGAAGGGCGCUGUGCUGUCUCCAGUGUAUGGCCGUGGUGAAUAAAGCCACCGUGAUGAGCCCCGGACAGGCUUUUGUGUGCGGCGCCGAAUAUCACCGCGCCCGCAUUUUGCUGGGCCCGGUGUGUUCAUCCGUCUCCUGCUGAGGGACGUCUGGGCAGCUUCCACGUCGUGGCGGUCGGGAACACGGCCACGCAUAACCGCCCGAGUGCAGCUUCUCCAGCUGAAGGCCGCGGAGUCUGUCAGGUCAGCCGGGGGCUUCCCAGGAGGACGGCGCCUCGGAGGAGGAGGGGGUGUCCCUUCUGUCUCUUCGGUGCUGAUGCUCAGCCUGGGUCUGCUCCAAAUGAAGGGAUUCUGCAUCAUUGUUGCCUCUCUACUCGCCUCUAAUUUCUCCAGAACAAAUGGACUAUUCACAUCCCUGCCCAAGAGUAACGACCCUCUGAGGCGGGGGAGGCACGGGGGACCGGCUUCCUGGGCAAAGGCCACUGCUCUGUCCCAGACGCUCGCACAGAGAACCGCUCGCCCACGCCUGGAGUUGUCCCGCCGCCGCCUUGCCGUCUGACGGGCAGACGUGUUUCGGGGUGUGCCUUCCCGGCGGGCACUCGUCAGGGCCUCGUUAAGGAACUGCCACCUGCCUCCGCGCCCUGGAAAACCGCUGUGUUCUCCCGGGGCUCUUCGUCGUGCCCGUCACGUCCCCGGGAUGCUGGGAGGCGCUCGCUGGACGGUGUUUUCUCCACGGGGGUGUCCGUCGGCUCCAGCACCAUUUUCGAAAACGUCCUCCUCCCCCAACGAGUCUCGGUGGUGCCACCACCAUUACCGGUGUGACCACCUGCGCUCCAAGCUGCUCCUGGAUUUGGAAUGGCACCGGUGAGGGUCACUCACCUGUCCCCAAGCUGAUGGCACAGUGGACAUGCUCGUCUUGCCUUCUCUAGCCAAGCUUGGCCGUCUGGGAAACACUCUCUGCAGUUUGUCCAGGCUGCGUGGUUUUCCUUUUUGUUUGUUUGCCUCCGUGUUUCUGUCUUUAGAAACCACAACAAACUCUGUCUGCCUGUGACUGUCGGGCACAGCUGUUCUGGCUGGGGUGACAGGCAGGGGUUGAAGGCUCCCACCUACAGCUUCUGGUUCAGAGGCGGAGCCAGAGAAGAGUGUAAGCCACACGUACAUCCGGCAAUGACGCCUUGUGAACAGGGUUACCAAGGAAACUGAACUUGGUGGGACAGGCCAACAAUAGGACAAUGCCUUCGGUGGUCCCAAAGGCCACCUCCCAAGCCAGGGCUCUGGGGGGGGGGGGCCCCCCGGGGGGGGGGGCUGGGGCAUUGGGAAGGCCCGCCCUGCAGAGCAGAGGUUGGGUCCCAGGCCAGCUCACCCCCUGCCCUGGCUGUGUUCUAACAAAGGAGCAUAUACACUGGGGACAUUUCUUCAGUAAUGCAGGUGCCUAGAAGUGAUUCCUCCUGUGGCUGUAAGCUCCCCGAGUGCAAGGGCUGCAUGCAGUGAGUCUCUUGAGUUUCUUAGAUAAUUUGCUGCAGCAAAAAGUGGGUCCCGGAGGAAGCAGUUGUGGGAGGGCGUGGCCAACGCCUGGUCAGAAGCUGCAGGUGCGUCUCUGAGAGCCCCCCCCCCCCGCUUGUCCCGAGGUGAGUUGUUUUCCCGUUUUCGUGCUGGAAGGAGAAAGAAGGCGAACUGACCAGCCCACAGUGGCAGGCCCUGGGCCUUAUGGUUCCACUGGGAAGUCGGAACAGCACCCGCUCAUCACACCCUCGUCGAGUCAUGGACGGAGGGAGCCCUGGUGACCUGCAGGACACACUGCAGAAAGGGGACAGAUGGGUCACA